UAAAAAUUAAUAAAGACCAGAGUUGACUGGAGGAGACCUAUUGGAAAUCUGGUGGCAAACAUGAAGGAAGAAACCAAGAAAAACUAUAAGACAAGUAACAUAUAUGAUGAUCCCUCUACUAUGGGAACAGCUCUGAGACUAGCUCAGUGGUGGCUCACAGCUACCCAACUAGCUAAGGCCAGGCUUGGGGAUUUUCAGCACUGUCUUCAGCGGACAUGGAAAUCUGUCAGCCAAUUCUUCCCAUGCACAAUAAGGAGAAAGGAAAUGAAAAGCUGUAAAACCUGUGAAAGAUCUAAUAAAGAUCAGAUUUGACCAAGGGAGACCUCCUGAGGAUCAUAGCUACAGACAUGAGAGAAGAAUCGAGGAAAGAGUACAGGACAGAUGACAUGUGUUCUGAUCCCUCUGCAUGAGAACAACUCUGAGAUUGGAUGAAGCAUGCUGGGUUUUGUUGUUGUUGUUUGGCUACAGAAUGCUCAUGACUUAUUGUUACAUGCCACCCUUUCAUAUGGCAUGAAUGGAGGUUUGGUAUUCAAAUGGACUUAUAAAGUUAAUAGAUGCCUUUACCUCCUAAAAAGUAAAACAGAAAAUCAUCUUUAGCUGACUUGUACACACUGCAUAUUCCAUACUUGUGUUUAUGCAGAUAUAUAUGUUGCCUUUAAUAGUUUAUGUGUUUUCAGAACAACAACAACAAAAAAAAAAAAACACCAAUAAAGACAAGAAGCCCAGAUGAUCUAGCCUCUCAGAAUUCCUCUGCUGCAGUUUCCUCAAAACUCUGCAUCCAAAACAACUUCAAAGCUGCUAGACAAUUUUUAAAAGGAUGUUUCAAUAGAUAUUUGCUUCUAUGCCUAGCAAGAUUAUGAGGAAUAAAGAGCUCUUUCUGGUCUCAACCAGGUUUGUAGUGGUAGCACACAACCACAAAACCACUAUGUAUGGAACUCAACCAUUCCAAAGAAAGCGCAGUGAACAUUUUUACACAUCUUCAGGAGUUGGAAUGAACAGAUAUUUACCAACUUUUCUAUCUGAUAACAAGAUAAAUAUGCCCAAAGAAUUUCAAAUCAGAAAUUAAAUAUACAAAACAAAGUCAUAAACUUUUGGAAUCAUGCUGGAUCUACAAGGAUUCUCAAUGGAUUUCCCUACAGGGGCAUGGAGAGCACACUUCACAUGUUUGAUAUGACAGACGCAGAAAUGGCCUGCUGACUUAAGUGGAAGAAAAUUUUUGGUGGCUGGUGGAAAUGUUACCCCAAUUUCUGCUUGCAAAGUGCCUUGAAAGAGCAAGGGCCAAUCAAGGAAGCUGGCAUGUCUGCUUUACUUCAUCGUUUGCUUCCGUUUCAUCCAGGCCAGCAGCCUCCGGGCGAAGGCCAACACAUCACUAAUUGUGGUUUUCUGAAAUCCUACACUUCUGUGUCACUUGUCACCAUUUCUCUCUUACACAGAAAAAGGAAUUGAAUUACAACUCACUUGCCUAGGUCUCUCAGCUCAAGGUUUUUCAGGAGACCAAGCUGGAAGCGGGAGGACGAGGACACAGGCAAACUGCUGGGCCAGGCAUUUACCGUUCAAUGGUUGCCCAGAGAAGCUUCAACAGGGAGCAUCCAGCUCUCAGCCUCUGGACCAAAGUGGCAGUAAAACUACAGAAUGGAGGAAGACCCCAGAGAGCUAAGGAAUAAAGUGAAGACAAAAGCCACAAGAUAACAUCUCUUUAAGGGUUUUCACCUCACUCUCUCCGUGUGAUACAAAGGGUCAAGUGGAGGAAACAGCAGCUGCUAUUUCUCACAGCUUUAAAAGAACUGACAAACAUUUCUCAGUGCCACUCUCCUUUCAAAUAAUAAAUGUGUCACCUUUGCAAACUGCAAUGAGUAUUUGGGGAAUUAGAUGUCCAAGAGAAAACAUCUAUAUGACAGAGUGAAACUCUAGUUCAUGGCCAAUGA